rnacentral:lncRNA from 1 species
CUUCAGGGUUUGAUCAAAUGUAUAUUUAAAUUUACUUAUACAUACUUAGUUGCUCACACCAAUCAUGUCCAUAUACACAGCUACAAUAGGAAUGCAGAAAGCUGAGUAAAAUAUAUUAAAUAGAAGUUAUUACAAGUUCAUAAUCUGAGUAGAAAUAUCAAUAUCUUUGUCUUAGAAAUAAAUCUCUGAAAUAAAUCAUCUCAAAAUUGCCAGCAACGAAUGAAGUAUUUCAAGAAUUACUGUCAAUGAAUGUGAGUAACUGUACUUAAACCGAAAAACGGAACAAAUGUAACAGAUGUCAGCCUGAACCUACCUACCUGCCCAUCCUUUUUGCCUUGCCCCAACCAGCCCCACCCCCACCAUCACAAUGGAUGUCCUUGACUUAUGACUUUUUGUGUUUAAAUAGCUUGGGCUUUUCUGAUUUAUAUGGGCCACUGCAAACUGAAAAACACCUAGAUGACAUUCUACUGCAAAGCUUAAUCAUUUUUGGGUCACAGUUCAAAUGGACUGAAAGAAAAAGAACAUUUAUGUCUAUGACUACUUCAGGCCUGGAAGAAAUCUCCAGGAUCCAUCCAGGCAAUUUCCUGGCCACAAAGUGAAACCACAGUAUAACCUUCCCAGAUAAAUAAUUGUUUCUCCUUUGUAAAGAGACUCACAAAAGUGGAGAUUCCACAGUCUUCUUCAGUUACUUCAAAUGUUAACAUCCCUCAGUGUUGGCAAAUGUUUUCUGAUCUGUAAAGUCUCAUGUUCUAAUUAAACCUGUUCUGUUUGUUUCUCAAUGGAGAGAUGUAUCAGAUAAAUAUUCAUUUUUAAUUCAAAGCAGCAGUAAUCAUUUAUUGAGCAACUCCUAUGUGUAAGCACCAGAGAUAAUGAAAUGAAAGAUAUAAUCCAAGCCCUCAAGAAAUUUGAAAUCUAGUGAAAAAAACAGACAUUUAUACAUUAUAAUAAUGUUACCAGAGAGGCUGGCUAAUAUUUCAAAAUAUUUAAACACUACAAUAUGGGCACCAACCUAUCAAAAUGAAGACUUACGGUAGGACCAGGAGAAGGAUCUGAAGGAUGCUCUGUAAAUGCUGCAAUUAAGCAUCAUGGGAAAAUCGAAAGAGUGUGGGCGAAAGCAGUGAUGACCUGUGAACAGAGGACGUAGCUCUGACUAUUUUGCAAGGACUACCUUGCGAGUGAUAUUUUAAAAUUUCAAUAUUUUGUAACUAGUUUGGUUAUACUGAUGCAUAAGAACUGAGUACUAGCUUCACAUAAGAAUCACUCUUAAAAGUAACAAUGCUUAAGUCAGC